UUGGUCUCAGUUUGUUCAAAAGGUUGUU
rnacentral:piRNA from 1 species